AUGAGGCCUCUGGAGGACAUCAUCACAUCUGGGAAAACAAAAACGGAAACGCUGUCAAUGUCUGGGACACCAACAAUGAUAACGUGAUGACAAGCCGGACGCAGAGCUUUGACGAGGGGGCCUACCUUGGGGAUCGUGAAUGAGGUGAAGGGCGGAAAAGUUGAACACCUCGGCUUUGUUCUUCUUUUUGUGUUUCUGCAUGCAAGAGAGUCAAGCAAAAAAAA